rnacentral:tRNA from 1 species
GCUGCUUUAGUUUAAUUUUAAAAACUUUUGCUUUGUAAGCAAAUAAUUUAUAUAGUGUAAAAGCAGCU